rnacentral:lncRNA from 1 species
AGCUAGCUCUCUGUGGCACUGAGCAAGGUAGGGAAGGAUGGAGAGUAUUUUUGCAGAGCAGCUGCAGAAUGUCCAGCUAGAUCAUCUCAGCCUCUCCUGAACUGUGACCAACUGGCUUACUCAAGGGACUGGAUCUGCUGUCCCGACAUGAUGGCAAGCUGCAGCACAUCAUGCAGAUUAAAGUUCAGCCUGCCUCAGACUCAGGAUAAAAACACAUUUGGGACAGUCUCGCUCAGCCUCAUUGCAGAGACAAGAAAUGUAUGAAAAGAAAGUACAGAGAAAAAAAAAGAAUGGAAUACACAUGAAUGCCGAACCACAUUGGAUAUGUAGCUGUUCAUGAAGAUAUUCCAGGGAAGGCCUAUCUAGUAGAGCCUCAAAUCUAUUUGAAUACAAAUGGCACUCAUUAAGGACAUCUGUCUUCUGUAAUGUCUACACAAAGUCUUACCGGGGUCUUCUUGGCUCUUAUUGACGGCUGAUGAAGGAGGGGUUUAUAAAGAAAACAAGCCAAAACCUGAAUAACUUGCUACUGAGAGCAGCACACAUAUUUUCCCAAAGUGCAAAGUUGAGAAGAAGUACAAAGCUUUGUUAAUAUUCUGAACAGUACUGCUUAGUAUGAUCUAAUUGAUGGAUUUUCCAUGGACUCCCUAGAGACUGAAAAAGGUUUGACUGUCAGGAAACUUUUCUUGUGUUUAUUCUUCAAUUUUCCUUUUCCUACUUUCCAAUCAUCAUUCCCUAUUAACAUCCCUUGAUGGGUCACCUUAAGUGAUUAUUCUUUUUAAUGGCAUUUAUAACGUUUAAUAUUUCCCUGUUAAUUUCUAUUCCGACAAAGUACAUAUUUUUUUAAUCUUCACUCAUAACAUUAAUAAAUUUUUCCAACAUUUUAAA